ACCCCCUGGCAAUAGGCAAAGAGACAGCUUGUUGGUGGUAGUAUUCUUAUACCAAUCAGGGGAAGAGCAGUAGCCCUUUGUUCAUCCCUGCUUAAUGCCUGGCUUGGUGGCCAAAGCUGUCUUAAGCCUAGGACUUGUAA